UAGGGAAUAUUGCUCAAUGGGCGAAAGCCUGAAGCAGCAACGCCGCGUGCGUGAUGAAGGUCUUCGGAUCGUAAAGCGCUUUUCUGGGAGAUGAGAAAGGACAGUAUCCCAGGAAUAAGUCUCGGCUAACUACGUGCCAGCAGCCGCGGUAAAACGUAGGAGGCAAGCGUUAUCCGGAUUCACUGGGCGUAAAGCGCGUGCAGGUGGCGUGGUAAGUUGGAUGUGAAAGCUCCCGGCUCAACUGGGAGAGGUCAUUCAAUACUACCGUGCUUGAGAGCAGAAGAGGAAGAUGGAAUUCCCGGUGUAGUGGUGAAAUGCGUAGAUAUCGGGAGGAACACCAGUGGCGAAGGCGAGUCUUCUGGUCUGUUUCUGACACUCAGACGCGACAGCUAGGGUAGUAAACGGGAUUAGAGACCCCGGUAAUCCCUAGCCGUAAACGAUGUGAACUUGGCGUUGGUGGGUUAAACUCCGAUCAGUGCCGAAGCAAACGCGAA
rnacentral:rRNA from 1 species